GAUAGAAUGGCUGAAAAAAGUAAUAAAUUGUAAAUUUAUAUAUGGUUGUAAAAACCUUCUAUUA
rnacentral:tRNA from 1 species